UUAGGUGUUGUUGAAUUUUCAUAGCUUUUGUACCUAAUUUGCUUUUCCUUAAAAUGUCUAGCCAUUAGCCAUUAUGUUGCAAAAAGAUGCAUGACAUUAUGGAAAAGUCCAAUAGGAAAUCGUUCGACUCAAUGUUUGCAUUAUAUAACAAUCCGGUUUACAGCGUUUACGUACCUAUAUAACGAACUGGUGAAUGCCGAUAGUCCUAACAUUAAACACAGAGUUAUAGCCAGCAAGACAUGACGCUGAGUUGAAGCGAUGAGUUGAUAAAUACAGCGUGUUUUACCUAUUAAUAUUUAAGAUACAGACAAUUUGGAAUUAGUUUUUCGUCUGACAAGAGUAUGACUAUUUAGGUGUAUACUUCUCGUAAAUCGCAAUCAUGAAAACAAACAAACACGUGGCGAAGGCGUGCCCGCCGAUUACCAACGCCGAUGCGGAUGAAGACGAGUGGCGGAAAAUGAGCUUCACGUCCAAAGCGGCGCACAUGGCCCGGAAUGUGACGGUAGAACCGAUGUUGGGGGUCUUCCAGCUAUCCAUGAUCAUGUCCAGCCUGACCACGCAAAACCUGAACAUGCAAAAGGCUUGCCGGGUGAACCUGAGUCUGGGGCAGACGGUGUGUUAUGCCCUGGAGAACAAGAACGCCACGUCUUACCGGAAUGAAGAGUUGGCAGUGCAGCAGCUGGUGACCAAGAUGAUGCUCUGGCAGAGCCCCUUCCAGAACAUUGUGCCAUGCGUUCUGGUGAUGUUCGUCGGUUCGUGGAGCGACCGGAACCAGAAGCGGAAACCGUUUAUGCUGUUGCCAAUAAUCGGCGAACUGGUGCGCAACGUCGGCCUGGUCAUUUGCGUGUACUUCUUCCAUGAGCUGCCGAUGGAGGUAGCAGGUAUCGUCGAGUCGGUCCCGUCGGCCAUUACGGGUGGCUUACCUAUACUGAUACUAGCCGUGUUCGCGUACGUGGGGGACAUAAGCACGGUUAAAAGUAGAACAGUUCGAGUGGGCUUCGUGAGUUUAAUUUUCUCGAUCAGUAUAACCGUUGGAUCAGCGUUAUCCGGCAUCCUGUUUCGAGAUUACGGUUUUUACGGCGUGUACUUUAUAUCCACUGGAAUGUAUUUGUUCAGCUUCAUGUACUGUAUAAUUGUCAUCAAAGAUAUUAAGCCCGCUGUCGUAGAAAAAUACCAUGAGCCCAAUAUUGUCGUUGGACACUGCAAAAAAUCAGCUUUACUCGCGAUAACCGAUUUCUUUGACUUGAAACACGUAAAAGAAGCGCUUCGAGUUACAUUUAAGCGAGGAAAUGACGAUAAAAGAAGAACCGACAUUAUAUUGUUGUUUGUUAUCAUGGUUAUUAUUUUGGGACCUCUGAGUGGUGAACAAACAUUGAUGUAUUUGUUGGUACGAGUUAAAUUCAGCUGGAAUGAAGUAGAUUUCAGUGUUUUCUCCACGUAUUACUUUAUUUGUAAUCUCGUAGGUAUUGCAUUUACGUUGUGGAUUCUGGUUAAACGUUUUGGCAUUGACGACAGACUGCUUGGGGCAAUUGGAUGUCUGAGUAAAGGAUUGGCUUCAUUCGUUUACGCCUAUGCACCGACUGAAUUCUUAUUCUACCUAGGUCCGAUCGUGGACAUUUUUCACGGUACGGCACUUGUUGCGUUUAGGUCGAUACUCUCAAAACUUGUUCCUGCAAACCAACUAGGUCAAGCGUUGGCGGUAUCUUCUCUCGUCGAAACCAUAGUUCCUGCAAUAUUCAGACCUCUGUACAAUGUGAUAUAUUAUAAAACACUACACUUUCUACCCGGCGCAUUUUACAUACUCGGAGGAAUCCUUAAUGUUUCUGGUAUCUUUGUUUUUCUAUGGAUGUACAGCCGUACAAAAAGAAGAACGUAAACAUGAACAUCUCAGAAAAGCCAAAGUUACAAAACUGAUUUAAGUAUAAAGGUUCUCGUCACAUUGGAUUCUCGCAAGAUUUUUAUACCUACUUCCCUUUACGUAUGGAUGUAUAAGAAACACAAACAAAACGAAAAAUGGGAAGAUUUUGAAGAGAAACAAGCCUUAUCAGGAGAACCUGACAGUCAACAUCCUUAAAAUUAUUACAGUAAUGUGUUUAAAUUAUUAAUAUUGUUUUAAAUUAUUUUAACAUGUAAAAAAGUUUUAUUUAUAUCACAUACAUUUUUUAUUGUAUAUUAUUAUACUAGUAAACACUAUUUACUAGUUACUAGUGCAAACCAAUUUUAUUUAUAUUUAAAUUACGUCAAUUUAUAUUAACUAAGUUAAACCCAUCUCAGCUGGAACCAAUUUUGGUGAGUUUAAAUUAGGUAUUGCUUAUUGAAUAUAUUUUUUAUUUUU